rnacentral:rRNA from 1 species
GGGUAACGGCCCACCAAGGCGACGAUGCGUAGGGGUUCUGAGAGGAAGGUCCCCCACACUGGUACUGAGACACGGACCAGACUCCUACGGGAGGCAGCAGUGAGGAAUAUUGGUCAAUGGGCGAGAGCCUGAACCAGCCAAGUCGCGUGAGGGAGUACUGCCCUAUGGGUUGUAAACCUCUUUUGUCGGGGAGCAAAAGCCGGACGUGUCCGGCUGUGAGAGUACCCGAAGAAAAAGCAUCGGCUAACUCCGUGCCAGCAGCCGCGGUAAUACGGAGGAUGCGAGCGUUAUCCGGAUUUAUUGGGUUUAAAGGGUGCGCAGGCGGAUUUUUAAGUCAGCGGUCAAAUCGUGGGGCUCAACCCCAUCCAGCCGUUGAAACUGGGGAUCUAGAGUGUGCGAGAGGUAUGCGGAAUGCGUGGUGUAGCGGUGAAAUGCAUAGAUAUCACGCAGAACCCCGAUUGCGAAGGCAGCAUACCGGU